UACGUAGGGGGCAAGCGUUGUCCGGAUUUAUUGGGCGUAAAGAGCGUGUAGGCGGCCAGGUAGGUCCGUUGUGAAAACUCGAGGCUCAACCUCGAGACGCCGAUGGAAACCAUCUGGCUAGAGUCCGGAAGAGGAGAGUGGAAUUCCUGGUGUAGCGGUGAAAAUGCGCAGAUAUCAGGAAGAACACCCGUGGCUAAGGCGGCUCUCUAGUACGGUACUGACGCUGAGACGCGAAAGCGUGGGGAGCGAACAGG
rnacentral:rRNA from 1 species